rnacentral:rRNA from 1 species
UACGAAGGGGGCUAGCGUUGUUCGGAAUCACUGGGCGUAAAGGGCGCGUAGGCGGCUUUGUAAGUCGGGGGUGAAAGCCUGUGGCUCAACCGCAGAAUUGCCUUCGAUACUGCAUGGCUUGAGACCGGAAGAGGUAAGUGGAACUGCGAGUGUAGAGGUGAAAUUCGUAGAUAUUGGGAAGAACACCGGUGGCGAAGGCGGCGACCUGGUCCGAUACUGACGCUGAGGCGCGAAAGCGUGGGGAGCAAACAGG